GUUUAAACAGAUACAGUCAAUGGUGUUGAAGUGAGCAGAAUACUAGUUACUAAUACCGAAGAAAAAGAGAAGUUUGUUUAUCACACACAGAGAGGUGGCUUGAAGCUUCCUGAAGGGGUUUGGCUUGAAAUGAUUCAUCUCUGACGGGGAAGUGUCUCAUAGUACAAUCCAUCAGUCUUCUGCAACAAAGGUGCCGACUGGC